rnacentral:rRNA from 1 species
GACGAGCGCUGGCGGCGUGCUUAACACAUGCAAGUCGAACGGAAAGGCCCUGCUUUUGUGGGGUGCUCGAGUGGCGAACGGGUGAGUAACACGUGAGUAACCUGCCCUUGACUUUGGGAUAACUUCAGGAAACUGGGGCUAAUACCGGAUAGGAGCUCCUGCUGCAUGGUGGGGGUUGGAAAGUUUCGGCGGUUGGGGAUGGACUCGCGGCUUAUCAGCUUGUUGGUGGGGUAGUGGCUUACCAAGGCUUUGACGGGUAGCCGGCCUGAGAGGGUGACCGGCGACAUUGGGACUGAGAUACGGACCAGACUCCUACGGGCGGCAGCAGUGGGGAAUAUUGCACAAUGGGCGGAAGCCUGAUGCAGAGACGCCGCGUGCGGGAUGACGGCCUUCGGGUUGUAAACCGCUGUCGCCUGUGACGAAGCGUGAGUGACGGUAAUGGGUAAAGAAGCACCGGCUAACUACGUG